rnacentral:rRNA from 1 species
UUAAGCUAAGAAGAGCGUAGGGAGAAUGCCUUGGCAUUAGGAGCCGAUGAAGGACGUGAUAAGCUGCGAUAAGCUGCGGGGAUCAGCAAGUAUGAAUUGAUCCGCAGAUUUCCGAAUGGAGCAAUCCGUAUGUGUAUGCACAUACAUCAUAUACUGAAUCAAAUAGGUAUAUGAGGGGAACCGCCUGAACUGAAACAUCUAAGUAGGGCGAGGAAGAGAAAUCAACCGAGAUUCUGUGAGUAGUGGCGAGCGAAAGCGGAAGAGGCUAAACCAUAGGUAGCAAUACUUAUGGGGUUUCGGACAGCAUUUAGUAUUGAUAAUUUCUAGUUGAAACGUGUGGGAAAACGUACCGAAGAGUGUGAGAGUCACGUAAGCGAAAGAGAGAAUCAGCGAGCUGUAUCCAAAGUACCGCGGGACACGUGAAACCCCGUGGGAAGAUGGGGGGACCAUCCUCCAAGCCUAAAUACUACCUAAUGACCGAUAGCGAAUAGUACUGUGAAGGAACGGUGAAAAGAACCCCGGGAGGGGAGUGAAAAAGAACCUGAAACCCUAUGCUUACAAGCACCGAGAGCACGUCAAAGUGUGAUCGGGUACCUUUUGUAGAAUGGUCCGGCGAGUUAUUGUAUGCGGCAAGGUUAAGUGCUUAAGGCACGGAGCCGAAGCGAGAGCAAGUCUGAACAGGGCGAAAAAGUCGUAUGCAAUAGACCCGAAACCGAGUGACCUAUCCAUGUCCAGGCUGAAGUGGAGGUAAAACUCCAUGGAGGGCCGAACACACGUCCGUUGAAAAGGCCGGUGAUGAGGUGUGGAUAGCGGAGAAAUUCCAAUCGAACUCGGAUAUAGCUGGUUCUCUCCGAAAUAGCUUUAGGGCUAGCCUCGUGAAAGAUUACUGGAGGUAAAGCACUGAAUGGGCUAGGGGUCGAAAGAUUACUGAACCCUAUCAAACUAAGAAUGCCAGAUAAUUGAUUCACGGGAGUCAGACAAUGUGAGAUAAGUCUCAUUGUCAAAAGGGAAACAGCCCAGACCCACAGCUAAGGUCCCUAAACAUUGUUAAGUGGAAAAGGAUGUGGGGUUGCAUAAACAACCAGGAUGUUGGCUUAGAAGCAGCCACUCAUUAAAAGAGUGCGUAAUAGCUCACUGGUCGAGUGACCCUGCGCCGAAAAUUCAACGGGGCUAAACAAUGUACCGAAGCUUGGGAUUCUAGAUUUAUCUAGAGUGGUAGGAGAGCGUCGAAUAAGGGGUGAAGUCAGAGCGGAAGCGCUGGUGGACUUUAUUCGAGUGAGAAUGCCGGAAUGAGUAGCGAGAAUUAUGUGAGAAUCAUAAUGGCCGAAAAUCUAAGGUUUCCUGAGGAAGGUUCGUCCGCUCAGGGUAAGCCGGGGGCUAAGGCGAGGCGGAGACGCGUAGCCGAUGCACAUACGGUUGAAAUUCCGUAGCCACCGAAAGAUUUAAGUACAGGGACGCUUUAGAAGUGAUGUAGCCGGGCGAUGGUUGACCCGGUCGUAAGGGAUCGAAAAUGAGUAGAGAAGUCAUCAUGGAAAGAGACAAGAAAAGCUGUAUGAAUAUCUUAGGUGCCCGUACCGCAAACCGACACAGGUAGAUAGGAAGAAGAUUCUAAGGCCAACGGGAGAAGGGUUGUUAAGGAACUCGGCAAGUUGACCCCGUAACUUAGGGAUAAGGGGUGCUCAAGUGAUUGAGCCGCAGAGAAUAGGCCCAGGCGACUGUUUAGCAAAAACACAGGUCUCUGCUAAAUCGAAAGAUGACGUAUAGGGGCUGACACCUGCCCGGUGCCGGAAGGUUAAGAGGAGAUGUGAGAGCAUUGAAUUGAAGCCCCGGUAAACGGCGGCCGUAACUAUAACGGUCCUAAGGUAGCGAAAUUCCUUGUCAGGU